rnacentral:misc_RNA from 1 species
AUCAUAUAUUCCCAUUCCAGCAGUGACAGAGCCACCAGGUGAGUUGAUAAACAAUUUAAUAUCUUUCGUUGGGUCUUCAGCAUCAAGAAAGAGUAGUUGGCUUAUGAUGAAAUCUGCCGUUAUGUCAUCAACCUGAGAACCCAAGAAGACGAUUCGCUGGCGGAGAAGCAUGUUGGUAGUGUCAAGCUCUUCGAAUCGAGGCAGCGAUGGAGCGGAAGAUGCAGAAUAGUUGUCCAAAACAUCCCAAUUACUGGAUAAGG